GACGUUACAGAGAACCCCGUACAACCCAAACUGUUAACCUUCAAUACUGCUUUGUACUUAGGAUCUUGUAUCCACUGACUGUCUUGUUAGAUUAACCCAAUAAAUUUCAUUCACUCCGCAUACUCAAUCCUAUAGACACCCUUUUAAUCCUUCAAUCACAGACGUAACUCGAUUUCACAAAACAGUCAAGAGUAUUCAAACCCACUUCAUUUAAAAAUCCUGAUUCACCAUUACAACACUGACUUCAGCAGCGAUUGCCUCAAUCUUCCCCAAAACUCUACGAAGAAGAAAAAUCCAAAUUCUAUGUCUUUCCUUCCCCGACCCGAAG
rnacentral:lncRNA from 1 species